UACGAAGGGGGCUAGCGUUGCUCGGAAUCACUGGGCGUAAAGCGCACGUAGGCGGCUUGUUAAGUCAGGGGUGAAAUCCUGGAGCUCAACUCCAGAACUGCCUUGAUACUGGCGAGCUUGAGUUCGGGAGAGGUGAGUGGAACUGCGAGUGUAGAGGUGAAAUUCGUAGAUAUUCGCAAGAACACCAGUGGCGAAGGCGGCUCACUGGCCCGAUACUGACGCUGACGGUGCGAAAGCG
rnacentral:rRNA from 1 species